CGGGGCGUAGCGCAGCCUGGUAGCGCAUCUGCUUUGGGAGCAGAGGGUCGCCUGUUCGAAUCAGGCCGCCCCGACCA
rnacentral:tRNA from 1 species